UGUCCAAGUUACUAAGGACGCAUCGUGGAUGCCUUGGCAUCUGGAGGCGAUGAAGGGCGUGGUAGGCUGCGUAAAGCGUCGGAUAGGUGCGAACAACCUUUGACCCGACGAUUCCCGAAUGGGGAAACCCAUCCCGUUUAACCACGGGAUAUUCCUCGUCUUUGGCGGGGAAGGCAAACCAGGCGAAGUGACACAUCUCAGUAACCUGAGGAACAGAUAUUCCGAAAGUAGUGGCGAGCGAAAUCGGAACAGCCCAAACCGAUCUGCAUGUUCAAGCGGGCAAGCGUUGUGCAGACGGUGUAGUGGGAUUCAGUCGAACCCAAUUGCUCAAAGGGUUGUGGAGUUACAAAAUCUUGGGAUAGUUGAAAUCUCCUGGAAAGGAAUACCAUAGAUGGUGAUAGUCCAGUAGACAAAAUCCUUAAGAUCUCCAUUGAUUGAAUUCCCAAGUACCACGGGACACGAGGAAUCUUGUGGGAAUCUGUCUCGACCACGAGAUAAGGCUAAAUACUCCCAGAUGACCGAUAGUGAACAAGUACCGUGAGGGAAAGGUGAAAAGAACCCCUGGCGGGGAGUGAAAUAGAACCUGAAACAAUGCGUCUACAAUCAGCAGGAGUUUUGAUCCCUUGGAAGCAAUUCUGAGGGGCCAUCAGAAUGACUGCGUGCCUUUUGCAUAAUGAGCCGGCGAGUUACCCUGACCUGCAAGCUUAAUUUCUCUAUGAAAGUAGCGGAAGAAGGCGCAGGGAAACCGAGUCUGAAUAGGGCGACUAGUAGGUUGGGAUAUUACCCGAAACCCGGUGAGCUACCCAUGGUCAGGAUGAAAUUCCGGUGACACGGAAUGGAGGUCCGAACUGGUGGAUGUUGAAAUAUCCUCGGAUGAACUGUGGGUAGGAGUGAAAGGCUAACCAAACCGGGUGAUAGCUGGUUCUCCCCGAAAUGCCUUUAGGGGCAGUCUUGGAUGUUCAGUAGUGGUGGUAGAGCACUGAAUAGAGGAGGACCUUUCGGGGUUCGAAUCCAAUCAAACUCCUAAUGCUACUACUUCAAAAUCCAGGAAUGAGGCAGUGGGGGAUAAGCUCCAUUGCCGAGAGGGAAAUAACCCAGACCGUCAGCUAAGGUCCCUAAGAAUUGAUUAAGUGGGAAAGGAUGUAAAGUGACUUAAACACCUGGGAUGUUGGCUCAGAGGCAGCCAUCAUUUAAAGAGUGCGUAACAGCUCACCAGCCGAGCCACUUUGCGCCGAAAAUAUACCGGGGCUCAAAUCAAUCACCGAAGCUGCGGUUCCGUAUUCGCUUCGGCGAAUGCGGAAGGUAGGGGAGCGUUCCAUUGUAGGUUAAAGUCUUGCCGUGAGGCAAGAUCGACGAAAUGGAAGUGAUUAUGCCGGCAUAAGUAGCGAUAAUCGCGGUGAAAAACCGCGACACCGUAAGCCCAAGGGUUCCUGGGGAAGGUUAAUCCGCCCAGGGUUAGUCGGUACCUUAGCCGAGGCCGAAAGGCGUAGGUGAUGGAAAAGCCGUCAACAUUCGGCUACCAUCUUAGUUUCGUUAUGAACUAUGGGGGAACGCUGAUGGUAGAGAUGGGUCCUGUGUUGGAAUACAGGAUCUAAGCACUUCAAGGGAGAUGCCAGGUAAAUCCAGUAUCUCUUAACCUUGGGGUGUGAUGGGGAGGCCCAAAAGGCCGUAAACCCAUCUCGAGAAUCAGCCGAGAAAAGCCUCUAUGUCAGAAACUAGGGUGACCGUACCGGAAACGGACACACGUGGGCGAGGUGAAUAUCCUAAGGUGCUCGGGUGAACCCUCGUUAAGGAACUCGGCAAUCUAACCCCGUAACUUCGGGAGAAGGGGUCCCCGUCUUCGGGCGGGGCGCAGUGAAAGGGCUCUAGCGACUGUUUAACAAAAACACAGGUCUCUGCUAAGCCGCAAGGCAAUGUAUAGGGACUGACACCUGCCCGGUGCCAGAAGGUUAAGGAAGGUUGUUAAUUCCGGGAUGAACCUCGGUUUAGCCCGGGAUGAAGCAAUCGACUGAAGCCCUGGCAAACGGCGGCCGUAACUCUAACGGUCAGUUCAGGCUACCUGAAUGGGCCGUUGUAAAAUCCGGCUAUAUGCUGGAACAUCCGAGUAUCUCCGAUUACGCCGGACUCUGCGACUUUGGUGUCCGUCGUGACAAU
rnacentral:rRNA from 1 species